rnacentral:rRNA from 1 species
UACGAAGGGGGCUAGCGUUGCUCGGAAUCACUGGGCGUAAAGCGCACGUAGGCGGCUUUGUAAGUUAGAGGUGAAAGCCCGGGGCUCAACUCCGGAAUUGCCUUUAAGACUGCAUCGCUUGAAUUGUGGAGAGGUGAGUGGAAUUCCGAGUGUAGAGGUGAAAUUCGUAGAUAUUCGGAAGAACACCAGUGGCGAAGGCGACUCACUGGACACAUAUUGACGCUGAGGUGCGAAAGCGUGGGGAGCAAACAGG